rnacentral:lncRNA from 1 species
GCUUGCGUUUGUUUACAGGCCAGUCUUCACCUCUCCAAUAUGGCGGCGACGUUGACACGCGAUGCGUCUAUGUAUGUCUAUGCAGUUGAAGACUGGUUGCAAGUAACAUUGUGACAUCACAUCCGGUAAUAUUUCCUUUGGAAACGCAUGCCUUCCCUUCUCCAACGUGUGGAGUCAUCACUGCCGGUUCAAAUGAAGAGCAACAAGUUGGUGCAGAGAAGAAUGUCCCAUAGGAGAAGUGUGGUGCUACUGCGACUGUCAUUGAGUUUAAGAAUGGAUACUCAGUGUGGGAGAAAGAAAUCACAAUGGUUCGUAAUCACAAUACUUACUGUGUCGUAAAAUGUUAUAACGUAAUAAUAAUAUUGUAUCAUGGCCCAAAUAUUGUGAUAGUAUCGUUUCGUCGCCUCUAUGGCAAUUCCCACCCCUAUUACACACUAUGUAAGGUUGCACACAGUUAGAGCCUGGCGUUGGCUUGCCCAUGCUAUGCUAGGUGUAGGACGUGUGCUACAGCAUAGCAGGGAUUCUGCUCCACAUCUUUCUCUUUGAUGAGAGGAUUAUUUGUGGCGGAACUUUGCAACAGUCAUACAUAAAUCAUUCCCCAAUUGUUUUAUGGUAAUGAUUACUGUUUCAAUUUGCCCAUGGUGCAUCCACAUUUCAUGACAUUAUUUCUAUUUACUAAUUUGUCUUAUCUUGAUGGUAUGGAUCUCAUUGCCUUAUUCUACCAGACUCCAAUCUGAUAUAGUAGUCCUCAGUAUAACUGUUAUGGAAAAUACUUUAAAGAGAAGAUUUUUGACAGAUAGACUCACCAUCAGUUGUGAGGAGUGGUUUAGGUGAGAAAGAAGAAAUACUUUUAACUGUAAGCCAGUUACAGUAUUGGUCUUCUCAAACAUUAUCUGAGUAAAGUCUUGAAACUGACCAAAAGUUGCAUAAUCCUUUCCUGAAAGAAAAUAUGAUAGAGCAGCAAAUGUCCUUUCAUGUUACAAGCUGCUUUAAUCACUUUAAAUAUAAAAUGGAUUUAUGCUCUAUACCCCUACCCCA